AUGGAAGAACUAGGGUUGAAGGAAGAAGAUCUGGACGAUGUAGUCUUUGAUGAAGAUUAGGCGCCUCCAGUGGAGGCAGGUUGGAUCGCGCUUGCUAGGGUUAAUACCAACAAGAGCUACAGCCAGACCUGGUUUUACAGAAACAUGAGAUCGGCUUGGGACAUAGCGCAGGAGGUGAAAUUUAAGCCCCUCGAAGAUAAUCUCUAUACUAUACAAUUCUCUUGCUUGGGAGAUUGGGAG
rnacentral:rRNA from 1 species